AAGGGCACCACAAGAACGCGUGGAGCAUGUGGCUUAAUUUGACUCAACGCGGGAAAUCUUACCGGGUCAGGACAUAUUGAGGAUUGACAGGCGCACAAUAGUUUUUUACGUUAAAGACUUUUUUGCUUCGGCAAAGAGGUUUAUUUCGCCGACAGCUAUUAUAAAUAUGCUAGUCCUUUCAUGAUUGUGUGAUAGGUGGUGCAUGGCCGUUCUUAGUUCGUGGAGUGAUCUGUCUGCUUAAUUGCGUUUCAGAAAAUAGGUUCAUUAGGGGCUUUGUUGAUUUACAACGUGACCACUAUGUCUCGUCAAUUUUUACUUCGGUAAAUUUUUGUACAGUCUAGUGUAGUCCUUGUUUUCUUCAACCCAUGCAACCUUGAAGGUAACGAACGUGACCGCAGCCUCUUGUUGCCUUUCUUCCAUCUUUUGGUGGACUGCUGCCUCGUGAUUUUUUUAAAUUUCCUUUGUAUUUUUCUUAGUUUUUGUUGUUUCAUAGGCCUUCAGCGAGCCUAUAUUUCAUUUGGGUCUUUUUUUCUUCGGGAAGAGAGGUUCAGUGGAGUAUAGGAACAACUCCUGAGGGAACAACCUGUGGGGUACUAAAAGCUAAGGGAAAUAUGAAGGCAAAAUUUAAAAUUCGUAAGGAUUAGCAGAGUGAAGCGCAAACUAGAGGGACCGCCGACCUUUUUCAAACGGAGGAAGGUUGCGGCAAUAACAGGUCUGUGAUGCCCUUAGAUGUUCCGGGCUGCACACGUGCUACAAUGAUUGUCGCAGUGAGCAUCUUACAAAAAAGUUUUUAUGUUUACGUUUCAAGGCUCGUUGGAUGUUUUUCCUUCGGGAAAGGUGUUCAGCGGGCUUACGUGCAAUAAAACCACACCUGCUUCGAGAGCAAGUUGGUAAUCAAUUCGAAGUUACGAUUUCCUUUGCACAACAAAACUCUUGGGCUUUAGAGUUUACUUUUUUUCUGUGUAUUUUUUUCGGAGAGUAUAUGGGGGUAGAUUCUCUCAGGAUGUGCUAAUAUUUUAUUCAUGGUGGGGACAGACCAUUGCAAUUGUUGGUCUCGGUCUUAACUAGGAAUGCCUUGUACGGGUCAUGGUUCAACAGACCACCCGGAAUAUGUCCCUGCCCUUUGUACACACCGCCCGUC
rnacentral:rRNA from 1 species